rnacentral:rRNA from 1 species
GACGAACGCUGGCGGCGUGCUUAACACAUGCAAGUCGAACGGAAAGGCCCUGCUUUUGUGGGGUGCUCGAGUGGCGAACGGGUGAGUAACACGUGAGUAACCUGCCCUUGACUUUGGGAUAACUUCAGGAAACUGGGGCUAAUACCGGAUAGGAGCUCCUGCUGCAUGGUGGGGGUUGGAAAGUUUCGGCGGUUGGGGAUGGACUCGCGGCUUAUCAGCUUGUUGGUGGGGUAGUGGCUUACCAAGGCUUUGACGGGUAGCCGGCCUGAGAGGGUGACCGGCCACAUUGGGACUGAGAUACGGCCCAGACUCCUACGGUAGGCAGCAGUGGGGAAUAUUGCACAAUGGGCGGAAGCCUGAUGCAGCAACGCCGCGUGCGGGAUGACGGCCUUCGGGUUGUAAACCGCUUUCGCCUGUGACGAAGCGUGAGUGACGGUAAUGGGUAAAGAAGCACCGGCUAACUACGUGCCAGCAGCCGCGGUGAUACGUAGGGUGCGAGCGUUGUCCGGAUUUAUUGGGCGUAAAGGGCUCGUAGGUGGUUGAUCGCGUCGGAAGUGUAAUCUUGGGGCUUAACCCUGAGCGUGCUUUCGAUACGGGUUGACUUGAGGAAGGUAGGGGAGAAUGGAAUUCCUGGUGGAGCGGUGGAAUGCGCAGAUAUCAGGAGGAACACCAGUGGCGAAGGCGGUUCUCUGGGCCUUUCCUGACGCUGAGGAGCGAAAGCGUGGGGAGCGAACAGGCCUAGAUACCCUGGUAGUCCACGCUGUAAACGGUGGGUACUAGGUGUGGGGUCCAUUCCACGGGUUCCGUGCCGUAGCUAACGCUUUAAGUACCCCGCCUGGGGAGUACGGCCGCAAGGCUAAAACUCAAAGGAAUUGACGGGGCCCCGCACAAGCGGCGGAGCAUGCGGAUUAAUUCGAUGCAACGCGUAGAACCUUACCUGGGUUUGACAUGGAUCGGGAGUGCUCAGAGAUGGGUGUGCCUCUUUUGGGGUCGGUUCACAGGUGGUGCAUGGCUGUCGUCAGCUCGUGUCGUGAGAUGUUGGGUUAAGUCCCGCAACGAGCGCAACCCUUGUUCACUGUUGCCAGCACGUUAUGGUGGGGACUCAGUGGAGACCGCCGGGGUCAACUCGGAGGAAGGUGGGGAUGACGUCAAGUCAUCAUGCCCCUUAUGUCCAGGGCUUCACGCAUGCUACAAUGGCUGGUACAGAGAGUGGCGAGCCUGUGAGGGUGAGCGAAUCUCGGAAAGCCGGUCUCAGUUCGGAUUGGGGUCUGCAACUCGACCUCAUGAAGUCGGAGUCGCUAGUAAUCGCAGAUCAGCAACGCUGCGGUGAAUACGUUCCCGGG